rnacentral:lncRNA from 1 species
CGCCUUCAUAAAUCGUGGAAACGUCAAUGGAGAAUCAUGAUAACUUCGUUCGUAUCCUAGUACAUGCUCUAGAGCCCAUACCUAUAUAUACAUAUAUAGUAUGACUAUUAUAAUUUAAUAAAAAUAAAUAAAUUAAAUUAAAUUGUUGCCAUAAAAUGACAUGAAGACAAAGAGUGGCCUACAAAACAAACACUCUUUCAUCUCCUGUAAAACUUCAUCCUAUGUCAUAUAGAGUUAUAAGUUGAGAUACUCAAAUUCAACGGCAAUCAUCUGUAUUUAAAAGUGCUUACAAAUUAUUACUAUAUUUUAAUGUGAGUUACACUUGUUUCAGUCAUAGUUACUAACAAGCUCUAAAUAUCAAUGAAUAAAAGAUCAAUUAUAAUCAUGUCACAAUAUGACAUGAAGACAAAAACUAAACAUCAAAUUAAAGUUAAACUUCACAAUUUUUUAUGUAACACAACAUAACUUGAAAUCAAUACUCAAGGUCACAAUCAUAAUACAAUAUUAAGUAGAUGCAAAACUUUUAUAGAUAAAUAACGCAACAAAUAUAUAGCAGAAUUAGUAACAACCAACAUACAAUUCAUAACAAUUUCUUUUCAUUCAGAAAACAACAAUCAAGCCUACAACUCUUAAUUUCAUAUUCAAUCGCAAUUCGCACCAUCAUAAAAUAAGCUUAAACAUCAAAUCAAGAAAUCAUGAAGAAAAAGAAGCAGCAUUAUGAGGAUAUAUCAAACUUACAAUCCAAAAACUCAAACUCAAGAAACUCUUGUAAUAUACAAAUUAUGUUACAUUUCAUUCUUGACAUAUAUAUUAUACUCUUCACAGAAGACAUAUAUGAUGACAAAGAGUGGCCUAUAAACGUAUCAAAUGAUCAUACAAUAACAUACCUGUAAUACAAGAGCGCAUCCCUUAAUCGGUAACCGUGAAGAAUUUUUUCCUUCACAAAAAAGAGGCGCUACUCGAUUUAAACUGCAAGCAAGAAUUUCAUAAACAGCGACACCCCAAUUGUAUCUCCCAA